UACGGGGGGGGCAAGCGUUGUUCGGAAUUACUGGGCGUAAAGGGCUCGUAGGCGGCCAACUAAGUCGGACGUGAAAUCCCUCGGCUCAACCGCGGAACUGCGUCCGAUACUGGAUGGCUUGAGUUCGGGAGAGGGAUGCGGAAUUCCAGGUGUAGCGGUGAAAUGCGUAGAUAUCUGGAGGAACACCGGUGGCGAAGGCGGCAUCCUGGACCGAUACUGACGCUGAGGAGCGAAAGCCUGGGGAGCAAACAGG
rnacentral:rRNA from 1 species